AUACGUAGGGUGCGAGCGUUGUCCGGAAUUACUGGGCGUAAAGAGCUCGUAGGUGGUUUGUCGCGUCGUCUGUGAAAUUCCGGGGCUUAACUCCGGGCGUGCAGGCGAUACGGGCAUAACUUGAGUACUGUAGGGGAGACUGGAAUUCCUGGUGUAGCGGUGAAAUGCGCAGAUAUCAGGAGGAACACCGGUGGCGAAGGCGGGUCUCUGGGCAGUAACGGACGCUGAGGAGCGAAAGCAUGGGUAGCGAACAGGAUUAGAUACCCUGGUAGUCCAUGCUGUAAACGGUGGGCGCUAGGUGUAGGGGUCUUCCACGACUUCUGUGCCGUAGCUAACGCAUUAAGCGCCCCGCCUGGGGAGUACGGCCGCAAGGCUAAAACUCAAAUGAAUUGACGGGG
rnacentral:rRNA from 1 species